CCGGGUGAGCAGGAAAGAUGAGUAGGAAGGGAGAGAGGUGGGAGGGAAGUAGGGAGAAGCUGACACUCGGAGACGGACCCGGCGAGCACGACCCCGGAGAAGGAGCGAGGGGACGGAGGAGGAGCUGCGAGAGACCGCGGAGCGAGGACCCCGGGGAGGGGAGCGCGGUGGUGGGCGUCGCGGGGCCGGACCCGGCUCCCCUCCGUCGCCACCUCCCACCCCGGGGGACCCGUCCGGCCCGGGGCGGCCGCCGGAGGCCGGGGAUGGCGGAUUCGUGCCGGAACCUCACGUACGUGCGGGACUCGGUGGGCCCGGCCACCAGCGCCCUGAUGUUCGUGGCGGGCGCGCUGGGCAACGGGCUGGCGUUGGGCAUCCUGGGGGCGCGGCGGCGAUCGCGCCCCUCGGCCUUCGCGGUGCUGGUCACCGGGCUGGCGGCCACCGACCUGCUGGGCACGUGCUUCCUGAGUCCGGCGGUGUUCGCGGCCUACGCCCGCAACAGCUCGCUGCUGGGCCUGGCCCGGGGCCGCCCCGCGCUGUGCGACGCCUUCGCCUUCGCCAUGACCUUCUUCGGCCUGGCCUCCACGCUCAUCCUCUUCGCCAUGGCCGUGGAGCGCUGCUUGGCGCUCAGCCACCCCUACCUCUACGCCCAGCUGGACGGGCCGCGCCGCGCCCGCCUGGCGCUGCCCGCCAUCUACGCCUUCGUCACCGUCUUCUGCUCGCUGCCCCUGCUGGGCCUGGGCCAACACCAGCAGUACUGCCCGGGCAGCUGGUGCUUCAUUCGUAUGCGUUCGGCCGAGCUGGGCGGCCGCGCGUUCUCGCUGGCCUACGCCAGCCUCGUGGCCCUGCUGGUGGCCGCCAUCGUCCUGUGCAACGGCUCGGUCACCCUCAGCCUCUGCCGCAUGUACCGCCAGCAGAGGCGCCACCACGGCUCGCUGGCCCCCGGCCCCCGGGCGGGCGAAGACGAGGUUGACCACCUGGUUCUGCUGGCCCUCAUGACGGGCAUCAUGGCCGUGUGCUCCCUGCCUCUCACGAUCCGCGGCUUCACCCAGGCCAUCGCCCCGGACAGCAAUGAGAUGGGAGACCUCCUCGCUUUCCGUUUCAAUGCCUUCAACCCCAUCCUGGACCCCUGGGUCUUCAUCCUUUUCCGCAAGGCCGUCCUGCAGCGGCUCAAGCUCUGGUUCUGUUGCUUGUGCCUGAGGCCUGGCCAGGGCGACUUGCAGACGUCCGUCUCCCAGCCGGCCUCGGGGAGGAAGGGCUCAAGGGCCCCCACUGCUCUCGCGGGGAAGGAAGGGAGCCGGGUGCACUUGUCAGCCUGGGGCGAGGGGCAGGGGGCACCCCUGCCUGUCCCACAGCCAUCCAGCAGCACCGUGGGAACACCGUCCAAAGUGGGGUCCGAGACAGCCUGUUCCCUCUGCUGACAUCUGCCCCGUGAUCUCCUGCCCUGCCUCCUGGGAGCAGGAGCCAGAAACUCAGGGACGUGACCGAAGGCUGCGGGUGGAAAAGCCCAGAGAUGGACCCUGGAGCCCAGCCGGCCAGAAUGUUGACCCCCUGGAUUCAGGGGGUGAUCAGCUGCUAUUUCUCCUCCUUCGGGCGGCCACGAUGGGCUGUGGGAGGAGGGAAAGAGGGAGAGGAAACAAUUAUCCUGGAGCAUAAAAAGAACAGUUCUCUCAAAAUAUCCGGUGGCCUGCGUGGCCUGGUCUGGCCCUUGCUUUGCCCAUCCAUCUCACUCUCUAAAUAUUUAGAAGGCAGAGAAGUUCCCAGCAGCUUCUGUGCACUCAGGUCUGCUCUGGUUAGGGUUCUGGCUCUGAUCCUCACUCAUUCAGGGUGCCCUGGACGCCCACCCCAAACCCCCAGCAGACAGCCCUGCCCUCUCCCAGUCUACUCCAAGAGCCACCCUCUCUCUGCCUCAUGGGAGCCCAGGCUUCUCCGACAGGCUCCCUGCUUCCCUUUACUUCUGAUUCCCCAUCAGACUUGGGAGGCCUGGUCCCCGCAGGGGAGGUGAAGAAGGGGAGAGACUGUUGCAUUGUGAGCGACACCUCCGGACAGGUGCCUGGAAACUGCAUGGCUUGCUCUGGCCCGGAUGUCUACACUGUCUGCCAGGGCGCGGGUUUUCAAACAACUCCCUCGGCCCCUCCAGGAUGAUUUGGAAGCUCCUCUCUUGCCUGGUUCCUGAACCCUGACUGCCCGGGUAGCCUCUCCUCUGGCUGCCAUGGUCCUGUCUGAAUGGCUCCGCCCCUGCCUGCCGAGCUCCAAGGGUUUCCACUGCCUGGAGGCCAACUCCCAUGCUCUCUGCUUGGCCACAGCAGACAACCGAGGUUUCCCCAAAGAGCCCAUGACCUUUGGGGUCUCCACCUCUUAGCUCACUGAGCUCACCCUUCCCAUGAGACGUGUUUCCCCUUCUCCAUCCGUCAAAAGCUCCCUUGACCUUCAAGUUCCUGCGUAGGCUAUUCCCCCUCCUUGAAGACUCAGUCACUCCUCUCAGGCGCUCUCAGUGCAUCUGAGGCUCCGCAAUGGUCCUCACUGCAGCCUGUUGUAGCACAGACGUUUGUUCAUUCAUGCAGCAGGCUCUGAUGGAGGGUUUACUGUGUCAGGUUUUGUCCCUAUGAUGCUGGGGACAUGGCAGGAACAGACAGCCUCAGCCCUGCUCUCCUGGACCUCACAGUU